UACGUAGGGGGCAAGCGUUGUCCGGAAUUAUUGGGUGUAAAGGGCGCGUAGGCGGCUUUGCAAGUCAAACGUGAAAUCUGUAAGCUUAACUUACAGUCUGCGUUUGAAACUGCAGGGCUUGAGUGAAGUAGAGGCAAGUGGAAUUUCCAGUGUAGCGGUGAAAUGCGUAGAUAUUGGAAGGAACACCAGUGGCGAAGGCGGCUUGCUGGGCUUUUACUGACGCUGAGGCGCGAAAGCGUGGGUAGCAAAC
rnacentral:rRNA from 1 species